CUUGUAUUCUGUGGCCUUAAAGGAAAUGAAAUUAUGAAUGUUAAUUGUGUCGGUUUGUCUUCUCAUGUAAUACCAAUAAGGGCUUUUCUGAGUAUCUUGCUUCGCCUUGUAAGAAGUCCAGGCACAGUGAUGCAACACAGUCAGAGAGCUCACAAUGUAAACAGAUGAUUGAAUACGCUGCUUGAAACCAUGGGGUAAAUGUGUGAGUGGCACUUAAGUGGAACGGUUAAAAUUCAGGAUUUCCUGAAAAAUGGCUAAAAAACCCCUAGCUCCAAUUUUCUGUUCUAAUAUCAGUGUUUCCUAUUAUAGGUUACAAUUGUGAUGCUAUUUUAUCAUCUGUUGUUCUUCCUAAAA